rnacentral:rRNA from 1 species
UACGGGGGGGGGCAAGCGUUGUUCGGAAUUACUGGGCGUAAAGGGCUCGUAGGCGGCCAACUAAGUCAGACGUGAAAUCCCUCGGCUUAACCGGGGAACUGCGUCUGAUACUGGAUGGCUUGAGAUUGGGAGAGGGAUGCGGAAUUCCAGGUGUAGCGGUGAAAUGCGUAGAUAUCUGGAGGAACACCGGUGGCGAAGGCGGCAUCCUGGACCAACACUGACGCUGAGGAGCGAAAGCCAGGGGAGCGAACGGG